rnacentral:rRNA from 1 species
CCUACGGGGUGCUGCAGUGAGGAAUAUUGGUCAAUGGACGAGAGUCUGAACCAGCCAAGUAGCUUUAAGGAUGACUGCCCUAUGGGUUGUCAACUUCUUUUAUAAAGGAAUAAAACGAGGCACGUGUGCCUUUUUGCAUGUACUUUAUGAAUAAUGAUCGGCUAACUCCGUGCCAGCAGCCGCGGUAAUACGGAGGAUCCGAGCGUUAUCCGGAUUUAUUGGUUUUAGCGGGAGCGUAGAUGGGUUGUUAAGUCAGUUUUGAAAGUUUGCGGCUCAACCGUAAAAUUGCAAUUGAUACUGGCAGUCUUGAGUACAGUUGAGGUAGGCGGAAUUCGUGGUGUAGCGGUGAAAUGCUUAGAUAUCACGAAGAACCCCGAUUGCGAAGGCAGCUUACUAAACUGUGACUGACAUUGAUGCUCGAAAGUGUGGGUAUCAAACAGGAUUAGAUACCCUAGUAGUC